GACGAACGCUGGCGGCGUGCUUAACACAUGCAAGUCGAGCGAUGAAGCUCCUUCGGGAGUGGAUUAGCGGCGGACGGGUGAGUAACACGUGGGCAACCCGCCUUAUAGAGAGGAAUAGCCAUUCGAAAGGAUGAUUAAUACCUCAUAAUAUUGUAGCUUCGCAUGGAGCAACAAUCAAAGGAGCAAUCCACUAUAAGAUGGGCCCCGGGCGCAUUAGCUAUUUGGUGGGGUAACGGCUCACCAAGGCGACGAUGCGUAGCCGACCUGAGAGUGUGAGCGGCCACAUUGGAACUGAGACACGGCCCAGACUCCUACGGGCGGCAGCAGUGGGGAAUAUUGCACAAUGGGGGAAACCCUGAUGCAGCAACGCCGCGUGAGUGAUGACGGCCUUCGGGUUGUAAAGCUCUGUCUUCAGGGACGAUAAUGACGGUACCUGAGGAGGAAGCCACGGCUAACUACGUGCCAGCCGCCGCCGUAAGAC
rnacentral:rRNA from 1 species